rnacentral:rRNA from 1 species
AUUGACCGUACCCUAAACCGACACAGGUGGACUGGUAGAGUAUACCAAGGCGCUUGAGAGAACUAUACUGAAGGAACUCGGCAAAUUGCAUGCGUAACUUCGGGAUAAGCAUGACUUCUAUCGGGGCAACCCUUUAGGAGUGGCACAAAAGAGGGGGUGGCGACUGUUUACUAAAAACACAGGGCUCUGCGAAGUUCAAAACGACGUAUAGGGUCUGACGCCUGCCCGGUGCCGGAAGGUUAAAAGGAGAGGUGCAAGCUUUGAAUUGAAGCCCCGGUAAACGGCGGCCGUAACGAUAACGGUCCUAAGGUAGCGAAAUUCCUUGUCGGGUAAGUUCCGACCUGCACGAAUGGCGUAACGACUUCCCCACUGUCUCCAGUAUAGACUCAGCGAAAUUGAAUUCCCCGUGGAGAUGCGGGGUUCCUGCGGUCAGACGGAAAGACCCCAUGCACCUUUACUAUAGCUUUACGCUGGCAUUUGUGUCGGCAUGUGCAGGAUAGGUGGUAGGCUUUGAAGCCGGGACGCUAGUUUCGGUGGAGCCAAAAGAUGAGAUACCACCCUUAUCGUCAUAGAUGUCUAACCGCGGCAUAACAGUGUCCGGGACAGCGUAUGGUGGGUAGUUUGACUGGGGCGGUCGCCUCCCAAAGAGUAACGGAGGCGCGCGAUGGUGGGCUCAGAACGGUCGGAAAUCGUUCGACGAGUGCAAUGGCAUAAGCCUGCCUGACUGCGAGACCGACAGGUCGAGCAGAGACGAAAGUCGGUCAUAGUGAUCCGGUGGUCCCGCGUGGAAGGGCCAUCGCUCAACGAAUAAAAGGUACGCUGGGGAUAACAGGCUGAUGAUGCCCAAGAGUCCAUAUCGACGGCAUCGUUUGGCACCUCGAUGUCGGCUCAUCACAUCCUGGGGCUGGAGCAGGUCCCAAGGGUAUGGCUGUUCGCCAUUUAAAGUGGUACGUGAGCUGGGUUUAGAACGUCGUGAGACAGUUCGGUCCCUAUCUGCCGUGUGUAGGAAUAUUGAGAAGAGCUGACCCUAGUACGAGAGGACCGGGUUGGACGAAUCUCUGGUGGACCUGUUGUGGCGCCAGCCGCAUUGCAGGGUAGCUAAAUUCGGACGGGAUAACUGCUGAAAGCAUCUAAGCAGGAAGCCUCCUUCAAAACUAGUAUUCCCUUGAGAGCCGUGGAAGACCACCACGUCGAUAGGCCGGGUGUGGGAGCGUAGCAAUAUGUGAAGCUUACCGGUACUAAUAGCUUAA